ensembl:lincRNA AI480526 expressed sequence AI480526
UACAAACUGUGGAAUUGCCCUAACAGAACGUCCGAAUUUACAGGUCUUGGCCGGAGACCGGAGCCAUGUCUGUGUUAUUCCCACUGUAGACAAUCCUUGCUUCCUCUGGACAUCUGGAGCAGGCCCAAUUUGACUGAGAGCCUUCCCCCACUAAGUUACAGAUCCAGCCCCACCAUCACCACCAGAGUUGAGUCCAAAUCCAACACUCUAGGCCGGGUAGUGCUGGGACUUUGCCAGCCUCCUGCUGAGAAGUGAAUUCUCCCCUUGGCAAACUGCAGCCAGCCAGCCUCCUGGGUCGAGAGCCAAGCCAAAAGAUGUCUGAGAGAAGAAACCUGGGGUCCUGCAAAGGUAAGUGGGUCCCAGCCCACUCUCAAUCCCCCUCUCUCUGUGUGAUUGCUAUUCCACACUGGAGUCACCUGCUCUGUGCUUCUGAGGAACCUCACCUCUGGCACAUCAAUGGAAAUUGUCCUUCCCUUUUUAUUUAUUUUUAUUUAUUUUUUAUUUUUUGCCACCCUCACUGGCCACUAAGAGAUAGCCCUAGCUCCUCCUCUCCUGCCUGGUUUUGACAGGACUCACUCCAUUGAGUCCUGUCUUGUCUCUUUGCAGCCCUCCUUNNNNNNNNNNNNNNNNNNNNNNNNNNNNNNNNNNNNGUCUCCCUCAUCACCACUGAAAACCUGAAGGUGGUUUUCCAGCUGCGGUACAUUUGCCCAAGUUGGGCACCCCUCCAGCUUCUAUUGGCUCGCCCUCUAUACAGCUGUACCCAAUAUAACAAACACAACCUUCCUGGCCCCUCAGCUGUAGUCUCGAAAUUGAUCUCACUGGUCCCGGGAACUCCGUCAAUACUGCCUCCUCUAGACUGAGCUCCUCACAGGCAGGAACAUGGUUGUUUCUCAAUAAACAAGUUGCAAAAAAAGGAA